rnacentral:rRNA from 1 species
GACGAACCGUGCGAGCGUUGUCCGGAUUCAUUGGGCGUAAAGAGCUCGUAGGCGGCUUGGCAAGUCGGAUGUGAAAACUCCAGGCUCAACCUGGAGCCGCCAUUCGAUACUGCUAUGGCUAGAGUCCGGUAGGGGAGUGUGGAAUUCCCGGUGUAGCGGUGAAAUGCGCAGAUAUCGGGAGGAACACCGAUGGCGAAGGCAGCACUCUGGGCCGGUACUGACGCUGAGGAGCGAAAGCGUGGGGAGCGAACAGG